CUAAUAAGACUGCCGUAGAUAAUACGGAGGAAGGUGGGGAUGACGUCAAAUCAUCAUGCCUCUUACGCCUUGGGCUACAAACGUGCUACAAUGGCCAUUACAAAGAGAUGCAAUACGGUAACGUGGAGCCAACCUCAAAAAGAUGGUCCCAGUUCGGAUUGUGGGCUGAAACCCGCCCACAUGAAGUCGGAUUUGCUAGUAAUCCCGAAUCAGCAUGUCGGGGUGAAUGCGUUCCCGGGUCUUGUACACACCGCCCGUCACGCCAUGGGAGUUGGGGGGACCCAAAGUCGGUGCGCUAACCGCAAGGAGGCAGCCGCCUAAGGUAAAACCAAUGACUGGGGUGAAGUCGUAACAAGGUAGCGCUAUCGGAAGGUGGCGCUGGAUCACCUCCUUU
rnacentral:rRNA from 1 species